UACCUAGCUUCGUCUAUAACUUGUAUAGACAAAGCUAUUUGUAGAAACUUUACACAAAAUCAAUUUACUUUUACUUAUAAAAAAAAAAACUUUGUGACGAAAAGUUUAUGCUGCAAUAUAGGAACAAUUUUUUUUUUUUUGGAUUUUCGGAUAGGGAUAACUAAAUUGCAGCAGCAGUAAGGUGGGAAACCAGAACCUGUUGUAAUUCACGGGAUGAUCCGCGGUGGUGGAGAUGAUGUCGGAAUUUGG
rnacentral:lncRNA from 1 species